rfam:Schistosoma curassoni strain Dakar, Senegal genome assembly, scaffold: SCTD_scaffold0002362
AUCCGACUGACGAGUCUCGAGUAGGACGACACGCGCGUCCUGGAU